AUGUGGCAGAGCCCCUUCCAAGUGUUAGGGUUCUCCUGUGCCAUUCACUUAAAAAAAGCCCUACAUCAAGAAAUGGUGCAGAUCAAGAUCAACAUCAAACAUGGCUUCAAUCUCCUCUCCAUCAGAAUUCCAUGCGGAGUAGCUCUACAGAGGAACUGUGAAGUCUCCCCCCCAUACUUCUUCUCCCUCAUGAAUUCUGUGUGAAGUGAUAGUUUAUCCUGGAGAAUCCUAUGCGACUGAUACAACUUCAUUACUUUGAGGUUAGUCAUUUUUCAGAUAAAUGUGAAAAUGUGAUCUCAUGGUUGCUACAUGAAAGUGAGUCUACACUGCUGCCAAAGGUGUGAUUUCCUGCACAGGGAAACAUUCUUGCUCUAACAGUGAAUUAGCUGCUUGGUGAAGCAGUAACAUCGAGGUGACAAAAGCACAGAAGGAUGACUUCUGUGAAGCCACUGGUGAUCGCAGGUAUUUGAUGGCAGCUUUUCACUGCUUUUCUCUCCCCUGCUUGAUUCAGGCAGGUGUUGAAACCAUCUGGGAAUGCAUGGAGAAGUGCAACCAUAAAGCAGAUGAGAAAAGUGAUCUCCUCACCUCUCCUCCAUCCAAGAACAUGGGGCAGGACCAGCAGGGCAGAGCCAGCUUAAAUGAGUUUCUCAGAGAAGAUGCACCUAUUGGGUAGCAUUGCCUGAAAAUACAGUGCUGCCUUCUAGACUCUCCUUUCCCAAACCUGCAGUGUUAGAAAUAUAACAAUCUCUUGCUGUUUGCUGAUUGCAAAAUAUUUUUGGAGUUUGAGGGUUUUUUGGUCUAGGUUUUAACAAUUCUAUUGGUCAUUGUGCAUAUUUAGUCCUCCCUAACACCAUGUUAGGAUAAAAGCAGUGUUAACCAUUCACAAGUAAUGACAAAUUGAAAUUUGGGGGUUGACAAUGCAUUUUCUGUGAAAGAGAAGAAAUUUCUAUGGCCUGUCUUAUGCAACAUUAUAGUAUCAAAUAAAGACACAAAUCUGAUUCCA
rnacentral:lncRNA from 1 species